rnacentral:rRNA from 1 species
CCUACGGGGUGCAGCAGUGAGGAAUAUUGGUCAAUGGGCGCGAGACUGAACCAGCCAAGUCGCGUGAAGGAUGACUGUCCUACGGGUUGUAAACUUCUUUUAUCAAGGAAUAAAGUGAGGCACGCGUGCCUUUUUGUAUGUACUUUAUGAAUAAGGAUCGGCUAACUCCGUGCCAGCAGCCGCGGUAAUACGGAGGAUCCGAGCGUUAUCCGGAUUUAUUGGGUUUAAAGGGAGCGCAGAUGGUUUGUUAAGUCAGUUGUGAAAGUCUGCGGCUCAACCGUAAAAUUGCAAUUGAUACUGGCAGUCUUGAGUACAGUUGAGGUAUGCGGAAUUCGUGGUGUAGCGGUGAAAUGCUUAGAUAUCACGAAGAACUCCGAUUGCGAAGGCAGCUUACUAAACUGCCACUGACAUUGAUGCUCGAAAGUGUGGGUAUCAAACAGGAUUAGAUACCCGAGUAGUC